AUUGAACGCUGGCGGCAGGCCUAACACAUGCAAGUCGAGCGAGCGGCGGACGGGUGAGUACUGUCUGGGAAACUGCCUGAUGGAGGGGGAUAACUACUGGAAACGGUAGCUAAUACAGCAUACCAUCAGAUGUGCCCAGAUGGGAUGAGCUAGUAGGUGGGGUAACGGCUCACCUAGGCGACGAUUCCUAGCGGGUCUGAGAGGAUGACCAGCCACACGGGAACUGAGAUACGGUCCAGACUCCUACGGGAGGCAGCAGGGGGGAAUAUUGCACAAUGGGCGAAAGCCUGAUGCAGCCAUGCCGCGUGUGUGAAGAAGGCCUUCGGGUUGUAAAGCACUGUCAGCGGGGAGGCGUUACCCACAGAAAAAGCACCGGCUAACUCCGUGCCAGCAGCCGCGGUAAUUC
rnacentral:rRNA from 1 species